UCUAAGUAGUAAUUGCUUCUGGGAAACUACUUCAUCCGCCAGAUCUGAUCUAGAAGAGACAUGUCUUCCACAACUGGAUCAAGGAAGGGAGGAUUCAUCAGUAAAUCUCCUUCAGUCAUGGAAGACGAAUAAAGUCCACCAAGAUUAGAAUAUCUGCUCAUAUCUGCCUGGUCCUCAAAAUUUUCAUCAGGAUCUAUCUCCUCAGGUGCAAGAGUAGGGUCAUAGGAAGGUAGGAAAGUAGGUGGCAUAAUGAGCACAAGACUCUGGUUCCCAUCUCCUAGGUCUACGACACUGACACCAUUUUCCAGAUUCUGAACAGUCUGAGAAUGUAACUCUGAAUCUUGAGACUGCUCCUGAAUGAACUGAGUGGCCAUCUGCCC
rnacentral:lncRNA from 1 species